rnacentral:rRNA from 1 species
AAAAUGUUUAGACUUACUCUACUUCGACGAGCAGUUGUUUUGUGUCUCUUCUUUCAUGCAGUUCAAAUUAGAGGCAUUCGGUUGUCUUCUACUAUUCAUGAGGAACCUACUUCAUUGGCGCGAGCUUUGGCCUAUGGUCCAGUCAAACAAAAUUUGACAUAUUUGAAGUCAAAUUCCAUUGAGACAACAACUUCUGGACAAGAUUCAAGUUCAUGGGAUCAAACUUACUUUGCAGUACACCAAACAUCCUCUGGAGGUCCCACCGACAACUACUAUGGCUUACACGCCACCAUGGGCGUGUAUGGCCACAAACUUAAACCCGGGCAAUUGACUUCAACUUAUAUUACUGUUACCCAUAGCGGAGAUGGUGUUAAAUCAAGCUUUAAUGCAAUUCAAGUUGGCUGGCAUAUUUAUCCAGAAAACUACGGCGACUCACGUCCCCACUUCUAUACCUACUGGACGAGAGAUGGAUAUGAUGCAACCGGCUGCUUCAAUAUGAACUGCCCUGGUUUCAUACGGGCAAAUGGCGCCUUGGUAGCUCCGGGUGAUGUUAUAAAACCAAUUUCAGGUGUCCAUGAACCUGUACAAAAUGUCACACUCAAAGUGCUUAAGGACAAAGCAAGUGGAGACUGGUGGGUGUACUAUGGUUUCAAUGGCAACCCCACAGGGGUGGGAUACUUCCCAAGGUCGUUAUUCACUUAUUUGGCACAAAAGGCAAAUGGAAUGGCUUUUGGUGCCUUUGUGGUAGCCGAUAAGACACUUCCAACUCCUCCCAUGGGAAGUGGUAUCCGCCCAAAUGGUGGCCAAGGUCGCGCUGCAUCUUUCACCAACCUUCGAUUCAUUGAUCAAGAUGGUAGGAGCAGUCCAAUGACGACAGAUUGGCCCAAGUUAGUUACGAAUAACAAAUGCCACUCUAUUACUCCUAUUGGUCAUGCUGAAUGCCUAUAUGGUGGACCUGGA